rnacentral:sRNA from 1 species
UUCCCGGUGCCGCCGCAACCGCCGUCUGUGCGCCCACCUCUGCUGCCGCCAUGGGGAUCUUAGAGAAGAUCUCGGAGAUCGAGAAGGAGAUCGCUCGGACGCAGAAGAACAAGGCCACUGAGUAUCAUCUGGGCCUGCUGAAAGCUAAGCUCGCCAAGUAUCGGGCCCAGCUCCUGGAACCGUCCAAAUCGGCCUCGUCCAAAGGAGAGGGCUUUGAUGUCAUGAAGUCGGGCGAUGCCCGUGUGGCGCUGAUUGGAUUUCCCUCUGUGGUCCACAUUCUUGAGUCUGAUGACCUCCACGGCCAGCGAGGCAGCGUCCUAUGAGUUCACCACUCUGACGUGUAUUCCUGGGGUCAUUGAAGUAAGUGGGUGUGCUGGGCCCAGAAGGAGAAGGGGUGCAUGCUUGUGUUUGGACUUGUGCCUGUGCCCGCCUUGUGUGUGAGUCAGGGUGGAUGUCCCCAUGUCA